rnacentral:lncRNA from 1 species
CUACGUUAAACAAAAUCAAAAAUUAAAAUAAAAUGAAACAUGAACUGGGUUGCUCUGGUCUAAUAUAUCAUUACUAAUACUAGCUGGAUCUACUCUGUUGAUGGGCCUCGGUGUACAUAUCGUCUAUUAUUAGUUUACUUUUGUUGUUUGUGCCAGAGAUGACAAAAGUAAACUAAUGAUUCUCUUAAAAAGAGAUACAUAUGACUCUUUUAUCAAUAGUUUUUUUAUUGAGAACGACUGCCAACAGUUGAGCUAUGACCCAACGGAAGUGGUAGAUUCUGAAGUCCGCAGAAUUUUGAGGGAUGACAAACUACCAUCUUUCUUGAAAGGUGCAUGGAUAAAGUCAUCUAGACCCCUGAGAUUAUUUGCUUUUAUAAAAGACAUAAGAAUCCAUUAGAAGCAAGACUGGUUGUUGAAAGAAUAUUGGCUCCGACAUACCUUUUAGAAAAAAGAUUAGCAAAAUGAUGCUAUGAGAGAUUAAGUGGGUAUGAUAAAUAAUAAGCGAAGAACUAUAACUGCUUAUCCUUAAACAUCACAGUUCAAGUUAUUAGCGCGGGAGG